AUUGAACGCUGGCGGCAGGCCUAACACAUGCAAGUCGAGCGAGCGGCGGACGGGUGAGUAUUAUCUGUGAAACUGCCUGAUGGAGGGGGAUAACUACUGGAAACGGUAGCUAAUACAGCAUACCAUCAGGGGUGCCCCGAUGGGAUUAGCUAGUAGGUGGGGUAACGGCUCACCUAGGCGACGAUCCCUAGCUGGUCUGAGAGGAUGACCAGCCACACUGGAACUGAGACACGGUCCAGACUCCUACGGGAGGCAGCAGUGGGGAAUAUUGCACAAUGGGCGCAAGCCUGAUGCAGCCAUGCCGCGUGUGUGAAGAAGGCCUUUGGGUUGUAAAGCACUUUCAGCGGGGAGGCGUUACCCGCAGAAGAAGCACCGGCUAACUACGUGCCAGCAGCCGCGGUAAUAC
rnacentral:rRNA from 1 species